rnacentral:misc_RNA from 1 species
GCAAGACAAAGCACAUAGCUUCAUGAACAAUCAAAUAUUAAUGUAUUUAAUGUAUAGUGAACCAAUGGUUUACACCCCUAGUAAGGUGAUAAAGAAAUAAGCAAUGAAUAAACAUUUUCAAGACUUUCAUAUCUCAGAAAUGCCUAUGUGGUAAGGUAACUCUAGAGAAGCAUCAUGCUAAGAUACAACAAAUUCAUCAUAAAGAAUAGAUUAAUAUAACAUAAGAGCAUAAGCUCUACUAAUAAAACUACGAAUUUAAGAGUAACACUCUACCAGCUGACACCUGAUACAAUCUAAUUUCCAGCAGCCUUCUUCUUCUCAUUCAUGUAUUCUUCCAUCUCCUUCAACCACAAGUCUGCAAACUCACAGUUCUUCCAUGCAUCAAACCAAGGCCCUCCACGAGUAUAAUGUAUUGCUUUAGGAAAUGUCGUUGAGUCGCCCUCCACAACCCUGUUAUGGCCCUCAAGAAAAUUCCACACAAAUGGUAUUGACCCAAUUUCUUCAUCCUCAAGCCACUGAAAUCUAUGAAGAAAAGCACCCGUUUGCGUAUUCACAACCUCAGGUGUCAGCACCUUGUUCUUUGGGUGGCCGCAAUUGUACAACACCAUAGAAGACCAAUUCUUCCUUGGAUACACCGUUUGCACUGCCCCAUCCAUUUUUGUGGUCUCUUUUGGGGUAUAGUCAUGUUGCACACACAUAAUAGCAUAUUUAUCAUCAAUCAAAUCACCCAAUUCCUUAAUGUCAGCCAAGUAUAGGAAAUCACAAUCGACAAACAUUGCCCAACCCUCAUAGUUGGCCAAAUAUGGGGUCAAGAAACGGCUGAAGGAGAACUCUGUGCUUUCCAAUUGGCCCCUCUCACGCCAAUACAGAUUUUUCUUUCUAAGUUCUGAUUGAAUGAUGGGGUUGAUCUCAACAGGAAUCGAAGACCGCUUCAUGAUGGAAUGGUGACAGACCUCAUACGCAACAUCUUCACGAGGAUCAUAACCCACAAAGAUCUUGAAAGGUUUGUCACUUCUUAGGUCUCCAUUUGUACUUACCGUGUGAACCUCACCAUUGGUUAUGGUCAUUGUAGCAGUAGCUAAUUAUGGAUCAGAAUCACAGAUUUGACGCUUCUACUGUUCAAGAAAAAGAUAAAAAAUCAAUAGGAUUAGCAACAAAAUAGUUAAUCACAGUUGGUUAAAUCCUAAAGGUACAUAGAAAAGAAGCUGGAUUUGUAGCCAUUAAAUUAUACAUAUCAGCAUCUCACAUUAGGUGUUUUAACUGCUUAGAUUAAAUACAUUCAAAGCAAUUUCUGUUCUUUUUGUUUUAGUUUGGCUACAGAUAUGCUUAAAAACGAUUUGAUGUUUCUAAGCCAAUUCCCAACCCAACCCUCUUCCACACCAACCAA